UACGAAGGGGGCUAGCGUUGUUCGGAAUUAUUGGGCGUAAAGGGCGCGUAGGCGGCUUGGCAAGUGGAAGGUGAAAUCCCUCGGCUUAACCGAGGAACUGCCCUCCAAACUGCUUGGCUUGAGACCGGGAGAGGUGAGUGGAAUUCCCAGUGUAGCGGUGAAAUGCGUAGAUAUUGGGAGGAACACCAGUGGCGAAGGCGGCUCACUGGACCGGUACUGACGCUGAGGCGCGAAAGCGUGGGGAGCAAACGGG
rnacentral:rRNA from 1 species